UACGUAGGGUGCGAGCGUUAAUCGGAAUUACUGGGCGUAAAGCGUGCGCAGGCGGUUUGCUAAGACCGAUGUGAAAUCCCCGGGCUUAACCUGGGAACUGCAUUGGUGACUGGCAGGCUAGAGUAUGGCAGAGGGGGGUAGAAUUCCACGUGUAGCAGUGAAAUGCGUAGAGAUGUGGAGGAAUACCGAUGGCGAAGGCAGCCUCCUGGGCCAAUACUGACGCUCAUGCACGAAAGCGUGGGGAGCAAACAGG
rnacentral:rRNA from 1 species